GAACUGAAAGCAUUGAGAAGUUUCCCAUUAUAACAAGAAAAUAACUCCUCACGUUGGAAAAAAUACAACUCUUCAGCAUUAAGGUAAACAUGAACUCAUGUCUACUUUUGAAUGCAUAUUUUUAAAAUCACAAUUUGCUCUAUAAAAGCCCAUUUGUUUAUUCAACAAACUCUUAACUGGCUUCCAGAAUUUGACACACAUAAAUAUGAAAGACGCUGUCCUUGCCUUCAAAAAGCAUGGAGGAAAAUUAGCCUCUCACAUAGUUACUUGUCUAGGAAAAACCACCACUAUUGGGUCUCACUGUCAGAGAAGUGAGGUAUCUAAGCCUUAGGAUCUUCCCUCAACCUGCUGGUAUCCUAGGACCCAGCAACUGUGGGUAAGGGUUUCUUACCUCGCUGCUGGGCCAGGAAGUUUGGUUCCCCAAUGGCUACACAGCUGUUCUUAAUCCCUCUGGGAAGAGGUACUACAAAAGACACAAAGCAUUGACAGCAGGAAUCAGAACAUGGUUGAUUAUGACACAGUAUGAUUAUGACCACUUUAUCAAAUCAUGUGUGCAUUAAUAUCUCAGUGACAGUCAUAAAAUUCUGAUGCAACUCUUUUGGCUUAUAACAUGGUGUCAUACUGGCCCUAUAACACCAGCUGCAUUACUGGGAUAUGAACUUCAGAAAGGACCUCAGGGAUUAUUUUUAAUAACUUCACUUUUUUGAUGAUAAAACCAAGAUCCACAGAAUUGAAGUGAUUUACCCAAGAUCACAAAGCUAAGUAGAAAUGCGGUAUGGAUUCUCGGGGUAUGUCCCAGCUGUCUUGCACAGAGCUUACAAAAGCUGAUUAUGAAAUACUCAGGAAUUGGGCUGGGGUUAUAGCUCAGUGGCAGAGCAUUUGCCUGGCACAUGUGAGGCACUGGGUUCGAUCCUUAGCACUACAUAAAAAAAAUAAAUAAAUAAACUAAAGGCAUUCUGUCCAUAUAUAACUACCAAACAAAGAAAAAAGAAAUACUCAGGAAUUGUAUGAGCUAGUUGUUAAACCAAGGGUAAUAUAAAAUCUACCGUGUUGGGAAUAUUCACAUUAUGGAAAUUGGCAAAUUCCACAAAGCAAGGCUGUUUGUUUUUCAGAGAGCCAGUUUACCAGUAUACUGAGUUCAUCCCCAAACUCUUAGUACCUAAUUCAGCAUCCUUCAGUUACAGAAUUAUCCUCUGUUGCUACCCUUUACUGAACAUUUCUGGUUUAAACAUCUAGCCCACUUAUUCCAAAUGCUCCUUUUGUGACAUCCCAAAGCAUCUCUAAUUAUCUCAAGAGUUAUUAUGAAACUCUUCAAACACUCAACAACCAAAAUUAAUUUUAAUUAGCUUUAAUUAUGUUACAAAGACAUAUGGCAUACAACAGUUAUAUGGGUCGCAGAAUGAAGUAGACUGUGAUGGGAUCUCGCCACUCCAAAAGUUUGGGAUUUAUCAGUCCCUGCCUUCCCCAGCCCCCUAUAUCUACAACUUACUAAGUCUUUCAACCUGAAAGCUCCAAUCUUCCUGGAUUCUCAACCAAAUUUAGCCAUCUUGACAGCACAUUAGGAGCUACAUCCCCAGCAGCCACUCUGAGCUCUGGUUGCAGUACCCUUGCGGGAUCCUAUGGGCUCCCUCGUGUCCAUACAGCUACAGCCUUCACACUAUUCCUGUCCCAGUGCCCUUCUCUUGUACCUGAUCCCUGCUGUGCAUCUCGACUUUCCACCAGAUUGGAGCCCAGAAAGCUUGCUAAUUUAUGUGAAUUCCCAUUUCCAUAAAUUCCUGUCCUCCUUUCCAAAUGCUAGGCCACUGUCUAGGAUCUUGUUUCAAAGAGGAGUAACUACCUGCUAAAGACUGAAUCUUUCCUCCCCAAAUCCCUAAGUUGAAACCUCAACUCCCACUGGUAUUAGGAGGUGAGCAGUCAUGAGUGGAGCCCUUAGAGCGGGAUUAGUGUCCUUAUAAAGAAACUCAAGAGAGCGUGCCUCCUCUUUCUGCUCUGUCUUCUAAGUAUACAACCAGAGACGGCCAUCUGCAGAACAAGGGGCAGGCCUUCUACAGACACUGGAUCCACCAGCACCUUGAUUUUUGAUUUCUAGCCUCCAGAACAUGAGAAACAAAUUCCUGUUGUUCAAGGCACCAAUUCUAUGCUAUUCUUUUAUAGCAGUAUGAACUAAGACACUAGCCUAGGUUGACACCUAAGAAGAUAUCAUCACUACUAAUGAUGCUGCAAAUCUCUCCAAGCAGAUCAGUGCAGAAGGAUGUGGAAACCCAUCGGCCAGGUUUCCAUGAAUCCUUGAGCACUGUGAUUUAACGAUUGAUUGCUCUCACAAAGGACAGCUCAGCAGAUGAGACUUUGUCCCAGGUGUGAGCCUAUUCCUUUAUUGAAAUCAAACAUUUAGAAAACAAUUUGAGAAGCUCUGUAUCAACAUGUUAGCAGUAGUUAUCUACUUUGGGGUAAUAGGAUUUUGGAUGAUUUUAUUUUCCUCUUAUUGUUUGUCCAUAUUUGAUAACUUUUUCCAGUAAAUGCAUAUUACUUUAAAAGACAAAAUCAACCAACAUUACUUUUUAAUCAACAAUAUAUCCAAAUGUAUUGUCACAACAGUAACUAUUAGGCACCCAAGUAACUAAAGCAGGGCAGUGACUUCCCCAAAACAUCCAAGAUCGAUUAACUAUGUUCAGUCUGAUAUUCUGCAUAGAGCCUGAAACAUCCAUUCACAAAGCAAGGGUUUAAUCUACCUACUCUAUGCCCAGCGCUACGACAUGCAUUGGGAAUGCAAAGAUAAACAACAUGUGAUCCUUCCUCAAAAGAACCUCUCAAUCCAGAGGAGCAAGAGAAACUGAAAUAGGCAAUUAUUUUUCUAGUUGAUACAUCACAGGUGUUUCUAAUGAGAGGAAGCCCAAUACUAGAAAGAGGAAGGUCUGCUAUGCGAGGCGAUUUGACAGAGCUAGCAAGACAGAUGAAUGCCAACUAGAACAGAUGCAGGAACCCAUGGGAAUUGGGGGAGAAGGGACACACACACACACACACGUACAUACAUACAGAGAGAUGUACAGAGGAGAGAAUAUGCUCUAUAGACUACGAUCAACAUGAAUUGAUACUUGACAGUAGAAGAUGAGAGAAGUCCCACGUUUAGAGACUGUGCCUUUUUUUGGAUAGUAUUCUUGGGAGAGCCAGUUUGGUGGGGGAGAUGAUGAAGUCAGUUUGGGACAUGCUGCAUGUGAGAGGCCUGUGGGACACAGAGGUAAGUGUGGUCAGUAAGUGGUGGGUUCUAAUGGUCUAGAGACCCAGAGAGAUGUGGUGGCAGAAACCACAAAGGUGGACACCAUUGCCAAGAAACGAUUAGAAGAUGGGUCUGAAGGAGGAACCCUGAAGAAGAGCACCAACACUCACACAGCGAGAGGAGCCCGGGAAAGACAAGGAGGUGCCAGACCAACAGGCAGGAAACCAGCAGAGGACAGUGUCCCAGAAGUCAGAGGAGUGUGGCUUCAAAAACAGGAGAGUGGUCAAAAAUGUCCAAAGUGAGUUGUUGAGAAAGGCAACAAGUAAAAGCAGGCGUCCCUGCAUCACCAGAUUUGACAGUGAGGGACUUUGGUGGUUUCAACCUGAACAAUUUCAGUGGAACUGUGGUGGAGGGAGGGAGGGUGAUAGCCUCAGAAUCAUUUACGUAGCAAACAGCAAGUGCAGAAAAGCAGACAGCAAGAAGUGUAAACCACUCUUUUUAGAAGCUUAGAUGUGAAGAAAAGGGUUAGGGCCACCAUGAGGAGCUCAGGUUGGAAGAAUUGUUUAGGGAGAACAAAACUAAAUCCCUCGCUGCUUUGUGUGGAAGAUUGGAAACACAUAAAUGAAACAGCCAUUGAAGGGACCACUCAGAAGAGACAGGACACGCAGAAUCCGGGGAAAACUAAACCAUGCUAAGAGGAGGGCACCUGUUCCUCUGAGAAAGGAAAAAAAAGGUGAAGGCAGGCACAGGCGGAGGCGAAUUUAUACCCAGGGAUUGGAAACAGCUGUCUGUGGAUCAGAAUGCCAAGGUCCUCCGGCUAUCUCAGGAGUUAGGUUAGGGAUUAAUUUUUUUUUUUUGGUACCAGGGAUUGAACCCAAGGGUGCUUAACCCCCGAGCCAUCCCCAGCCCUUUUUGUUUUUUUAUUUUGAGACAAAGUCUCACCAAGUUGCUCAGUUCCUUACUAAAUUGCUCAGGUGGCUUUGAACUUGCAAUUUUCCUGCCUCAGCCUUCUGAGCCUCUGGAAGUACAGGUGUGCGCCACACGCCCAGCUUGGUUAGGGUUUUGAGAGGCACCAUGAAGGUUUAGAAUGGCCAGUAUGAAAAAUGUGCAUGUUUCAACUAGGAAUACAUGAGACACAAAUGAGUCAGAAGCAGACAUAAGUUCUCUGCAUGUCUCAUUACACUGAGAUCCCUGGCUAUAAUGAAGAGAUGGAGUCCAAUAGGACAGUAAAAAUUAAAUUUUAAAAAAAUUAAGUCACAAAAAUAACUUUUAAAAGUGGGACUAGUUAGGCACUGUGGCGCAUGCCUAUAAUCCCAGCAGCUUGGGAGACUGAAGCAGGAGGAUCGAAAGUUCAAAACCAGCCUCGGGGGCUGGGGAUGUGGCUCAAGCGGUAGCGCGCUCGCCUGGCAUGCGUGCAGCCCGGGAUCGAUCCUCAGCCCCACACACAAACAAAAAUGUUGUGUCCGCCGAAAACUAAAAAACAAAAUAUUAAAGGUGUUCUCUCUCUCUGUCUCUCUCUUUAAAAAAGCAAAAACAAAAACAAAAACGCCUCAGCAACUGCGCAAGGCACUGAGCCACUCAGUGAGACCUUGUCUCUAAAUAAAAUACAAAAUAGGGCAGGGGAUGUGGCUCAGUGGCCAAGUGCCCCCGAGUCCAAUCCCUGGUACCAAAAUAAAUAAAGAAAAUUGGGACUGAUGGGCACUUCCCACACCUGCAUUUCCAGUCACCCUUGAUGUGCGGUGGCUGCUGCUCUGAGGAGCAAGCAUCUCAUAUCUCUACUCAGGAAUGAGUCAAGGGAUGAAGGUUGAGUGCAGAGCAACCUCGUGCCUGCAACAAAGUCACCCCGGAGCCAGACUCAGAGAUACAGAUCUCAUGGCCUCAGCCAGAGACUGGCCAUCAAAACUCUGACCUUCCUUCAGGGAAGCUUGGUGGCAGCAAGAUGCUGAGCAGUGAGUGCUGGUCAGUAGUGCCAGUCAUCAGGAGGAGUGUGCCAAGAAAAAGCGGUGGCCACGCCAGAGUCAAUUAGCCUGGCACAGGCUCUGUAAGCCCCCAGUGCCUGUCCUGGGACUGUUCCUCUUAUUGCCAUCUUAGAAGUGAAGGUCUGGGCACACGGUAGAUUUUCUACUGGCGCAAGGAAUCCUGUAGAUAAGCCUAGACAAAGGACUCCCUCCAACGCCACCCACACACAAACCUGCUGCCUGCAAGGGCGCCCUGCAGCCAUGCCCCUCUGCGGCCAGGAGCUAGAGAAGCAGCACAGCAUUCAGGAAGGACGGCUUCAGGCCACUGUCAGACUGGCAGGAGAACACCCCCUUCCCUCUGCCACCCUUCCCACUUUAUUGGUGUCCCCUGAUUUGGGAUGAAUGGGAUGGCAGAGAGUUCUGACCCCACAUGAAGCUCCAAAAGGCAGAAGAGACUCUUACACCAGCUAAAUGAAAUAGCGGCAAUGUUCUUGGGGUAUUCUCCCAACUGCAGGCUGUCAGGGUGGAAAUCCCACAGAGGAAAAGCACAACACAGUGACCCUGAAAUAAGGCCAUCUGGAUGUGACUCCUGCUUCACUAUCUGCUGGCACAAGUUACUCUUGUCUCCUUUUCCUCAUAUGUAAAACUGAGGUAGGCCUCCUACCUCACAGAGUUAGUACAAGGGUGAAAGUAGAUCAAAAACCUACAAAAUAUUUGACACAUAGUAAAUGCUCAAUUAAUUAAUAGCUAUCAUUUUCCUGGCAAUACUGGAGAGUGCCUACCAAGAGCUCUGCAUGACUCAUGGGUGAAGGAUGAGUUUAUCCAUUGCUGCUGUGAGGUGCACAACUGACAUGGAGCCAUAAGAUCAGGAAAUAGAGAAACUGUGUCACCUGACUACACAGGAAAAAAAAAAAAGAGUGAGUAUGAAGGUAGAAAUAGCAGAAUGAGCAACCUUAAGAAAGUAUAGUCCAGGGCUUCAACACAGAAGUACUCGUAGCCCCACAGACAAUGCAGGACGCCACAGGAUAAGCAUCGAAAUUCUUCUUAAGCAAUAAUAAAAGGUAUUUUCAUCUUAAGCACAUGUUUCAGAGCAAAAUUCCAACUUAUCUUAAUUUUUAAGAUUAAGCAGAAGGCGUCAAAGAAAUUUCAUAUUGGAAUAAGACAGAUGCGUGCGUGCACACCACACACACACACACACACACACGCACGCACGCACAGAAGUCAUUUCAGGCCAUUUGGUGGAAAAGUUUGAGAGACACAUUCUGAACAAGAGCAGACAUUCAGACACACAGAGGCAGUGAGCUGGGAAGAAUCCAUCCUGGCAGGUGAACAGUGUCCAAGCCAACAAGACACAGGCCGAGGCCCUCGCUCGCAUCCAACUCUUUCACUUACAGACGGAUUGUGAUACCAGCUCUCCAUUGCUGGAUAAAAAUUCUGUUACGUAAUGUUCUACAGGGUCCCCAGGGGCUCAGUGGCGUUCUCGUUCUCUCUCUCUCUCUCUCUCUCUCUCUCUCUCUCUCUUGCUUCACCUGGGACAGACAGUGCUUAUUCUCUAAGGAAGGUAUAUUCCCAAGCUCCUCAGAGAAACAUUUUAGGCUCGGGAUGCUCUACACAAUAGAUAACACACGAAUGUGACUCAAACUCUCAUUUCAACUGCAGGAAGAAGGGAAACAGCCACCGUGCCACCGGAGAGCCUUCUCCUCUCCAGGUUACACAGCCCCUUAUAAAACUUCCUACCUUGAUCAUUUUGGGGAGGAACCAAGAUCCAGAGGAAAGAACACAGGAGUUGAAAGGUAGAUUUAAUUUCUGCUAUGCUACUUCCCAGCCACGUGCCUUUGGAAAAAUCAUCCCGUCUCUAUAAACCUCAGAUUCUUCAUCUUCAAAAAGUUCUUCAAAGGGCUGUAGAUGAAAUGAAACAGUAGAUGCAAAUCGCCCAGCGAAGUGCCUGUUAAACACAGGAGUGGGUUUUCAAUAAAUCUUUGCCUUCCUCUCGUCCAGGAUCUUUAGCUCCUGUUAAAGGUGUGGCCAGCUAAGCCACACGCAGAGCUCACAAUUCACAAGUGGGCUACAGCGCACUGGUCAAGAGCUCCAGCUCUGCAGUCAGAACUGGAUUUGAGGUCCAUCUCCUCCGUGGAGACUUGAAGCAAGCUCUUCACCUCCCAGGCUGUGUCCCUCUUUGUUAAAUGUCUGAAUAAUAGACAUCUCAUCUUCACAAGGUCAUUGUAGAAUAAAGAAGUCCUGUUUGUGGCGUGUACAUGGAGCAGAUGCAUAAUUAAAAUUUGAUGGAUUAAUGAAUGCACGAUUUGGGAAAAGCACAUAGCAAGUGCCUGCACAUUGUAAGUGCUCAACAAAAGUUUGAGCAUGGUAGAAGAGUCACUUUCUAGACUGUUCAGGGCACAUGUUCUUAUCUAGCUUUUAUCAUAGCAGCUCCUGUUGAACUUCUACCUUAACUAUCCUUCAUUAUGGGUUUAUAAUAUAAUCUGAGGUUAUUGUUUCUAAUAUUGAUUCUGCCCUUUCUUUCAUCAUAAUCUAUUGCAAUCAUAGCUUGUCUUUCCCUGAGAUGUGUGUCCUUGAAUCCUUAUUUUCAUUACCUAGCACUAUCAGUAGAAUUUGUCCACAAGAUCAGAAAGGGUCAGAGAUUUCACCAAACACACCCAGUGCUUCAAUAUUAGUCCGAAAUGGAGGCAAAUCAAUCACACAACUAUUAUGUAAUAGCCACAUAAUAUAUUUAACACAAAAAAUGCAAUUAUUUAAAAAUCCAUUGCAUGUGAAUACAAUGAUGGCAACCUUCAAAGGUAUCAGCUCAUAUAAAUAGAUUCAUUCAACCUGAUGAUAGAUAGGUGGGUAGGGAGAUAUUUAGUGAUAAAAAUAAGAGCACAAAGAUUAAUCUCUGUAUUUUCUCCUCACCCCAUUUGUCAGCCAACAAAGUUUCACACCAAUUUGUGGUGUUCUGCUCGUCUGCCCACUGUUCCCCGUACAAAAAUAGCCCCGUGUGCAGUGUGAAUGCAAACGCGUGCUUUAGAGGGACUCACAUCUCUCGUUCCCUCUGUCUGGAAUAAGUGCCUGCAGCUAGAGCAAUGCCCCCCCCCGGGGGGGGGGGCUGUUCUAAUGCUGAAUUUAGCACAUCAGGGAAAUUUCCAUAGGAGCCAUUUAUGAUGCCAAAAAACAAAGUUCAAACUUCAGUUUCUGGAGGACAUUUAAGGGCACAACAAGAUGAUGGAGAAGUUUCUUUCCUAGGCAUGCGUGUCUGCAGGCAUCACAGAGGAGGCUGCCAACGCUCACUGUUUCCUGGGAGCAUCCCAUCAAUGAAUGUCGUCGGUCGGCGGCCCGCAGAGUGAAGACUCAUGCCCUACCUGACAUUGCUCCUGAGAUGUGGUUUCUGCACAAGCUGGCUACACAUAUUCAGUUUUACAGUAAGAAGACGCCUCCUAGGCCCUGUGACAUUAAUGACACCACGACAUCUUAUUCUAGUGUUGGUCCAAAUGUCAUUCAUUGAAUAAAUGAUGUCACUAACUGAAUCCAGGGUUGAGGUUUGAAAAAAGACCUGCUUCAUUCAACAAAUAAUAUUUUAGAUAAACAUGAAUUCACUUAUUCUUUAUAAGUGAAUUUUCCUCCCAUAUGAAUGGACUCUCCAUAACUCCUAUAAUAAGGCUGCUAAGCCCAAAUCAGCUUGCGUGCUGUUUAAUAACCAAGAAAUGGUAGGAGACUGUACUUCAUUUACUGGGUGUUUAUUAAGUACCUACUAUGCACAGAGCAUUGUUCAGGUGUUGAGGCCCCAGGAAAUGAACAAAGUGAACUUGUUCCUUGUCUUCUUGGAGUUCACUGCCUAAUAGGACACGGACAAGGUAACAGGCAAUUCUAAUGCUAUGUACCAGGAAAGGGUGACAGUAAGCAGCAGCUGAGAUGCGUUACAAAGCAUCAGCCCUACUCCAGAGGAGGCUUUUCAGCAGAAUACAAUGCCAGCAGAGGCCGGGAGGAUAGAAAGUGUUGUCCUGGCCAGAGGAGGCCGUGAGCCCUGCGCAGGAUGGAAGCGAUAAGGGCUUGGAGGCCGGGGAAGGCCUGAGCGGUCACAGCAUCAGCAGCAGGUUUUCUGCACUGUGGUUUGAACUUAAAAUACAAAGAGAAGUGCUGAGGGCUGGGACUGAAGAGACCCUCCUAGCUGGCCUCACCCAGCCAAGAAGAGAGGAGCACAGCCCCACCUGUCCCCAGGACCCCCUAGUUUACACAUACUUACGAUGACUCUCUGCUACUUCUGCCUGCCCAGCAACCCAUCCUCUGGCUUCUGACAAUAAAUCAUCAAUUUUCCCUUUGAUGAACUUUCCUGCCCCGUCUCUGUCUAUCAUGGUGGGAUCAGCCCUACCUUUGCUCACAAAAUUUCAGGCCUGAAGAACAGGCACAAAAAUUCAGACCUGAAAACCAAUAUUCCUGCAUCUCCUGGCCAUGUGACUGAUUCAGCAGACAGUAUGUGUCCAAAGACUCACACCCUGAACUUAGUCUGAACUACUGGGGAGGAAGAAUGCUUCCCAUUGGUGGACUGAGACAACAGAAUGUCAACCCAGAGCUCCAGGCAGCCAACUGCUCCCCCGUUCAUUCAUUCAAUGAUAGUUAAAUAAUUAGCUAGUAUGUGCCUCAGACUAUAAGCAUUAGGAAUACAGAAAUUUAAAAAAAAAACAAUUCUUCAUAAGUUUUCACACUCAACUGCAGAGGCAAAUAAAAUCACAUCCUUGAUAAGUGUUAGAGGUUACGUAGAUUAUCAUAGGUGCAGGGAAGGGCAGCCAACUUGGCUUCCUGGGGGAGAAAGUGUUCAUUGAACCUUGUUGGAUAAUUAAAAUUUAUUUGGGUAAGUUGGGGGAAGGGUCCGGAAGAAGAAUCAGGAAGUGCCCAGGCAUGGAGGGGGUGUUCAGAUGAGUGAGUUCUGGUGAUCCUCCACAUUCAGUCAGGCUGGAGGGUGCUGCCACACAGCCAUAUGGGGAAAAAAGUCCCGUCAAGUCAGCACUGACUGAAACAUGGAGGCUUCAGAUCUCUGCGGAAGAUUAAAAGCAGGGGGUAGCAUGAAGAUCACACAAGUCACAAUGUAGAUGGUUUCGGAAUGUGAGGCUGCAGACAAGGUGAACCUUAGGUCGCAAUUACCAUGGUCCUCCUCAAAACAGUGCUCAACCAAAGCACAGGUGAAAAGGGAGCAGACAGUGGGACAGACAGCAGGAAGAAGAAUAAAUAGGAUGUAGAAGUUAGCUGGCCUUCUACAGCUCUGGACUGGUGACUGUAGAUGAUAAUGCCCCUGAUCCAGUGAAAUUCGGUUUAUUGGGAGAAUCAGGUUUUAUGAGCAAAGGUAAUUUCAGGUUGGGCCACAGUAAGUUGAGAUGUCCCCAGGACAAUGUACUAGAGGUGGCUAGGCAGUGACAGUGAGUCAGGAACUCAGGGAGAAGUCUGAGGAGCAUACACUUUGGGUGGGUGGUGUUCAUCUCUUUAUCCGUCGUCUCUUAAUCCUUAAGAUCUAUAUGGAGUUUAUGGAGUAUUGUCAGCAUGUGUCAUAAUUAAAAUCCUGGCUAUGAAUGAGGUUAUCAAGGAUGAGCACAGACUUCAAAAUAAGAAAAGGACACAUUAAGGUAAAAAGCAGAGAAAGAUAGAGAUGCACAAAGACCAAGACGGGAGUCAGAACAGCAUCAGGGCAGCCAAGGAGGAGGGAGUGUCAGAAAGAGGAAGAGAUAGAAAGAACAGAUUUAGUUAGAGAUCAAGUCACAUAAGAAGGGAACGUGUCCACAGGAAUCUAUAAGGUUGGUGAAGGAUCAGGAAAGGGAGAGGAUGGUGGGAAGGGAUUGCGGGUUGCUUGGUUGGUUGGUAUAAAAUGAAAGACUCUUGAAUGUGUUUUUACACAAGAUGGAAGAUCUGGCAUAAAGGAGAGGCCGAGAUGCAAGAGGAAUAGCAGAGUAAUGAGCAUGGUGGUCCCUGCGAGGCUGAUGGGGAUGGAUGGUCAGGAGAAGGGCUGUGCCCCAGGUCGAGAAGUACACCUCUGCCUUUGAGAAGGGAGGAAGGCAGCAAGAGAUAGGAGAAUGGCCAUGUAGAUAAUUGUGUGAACUAGGCUAAGCAAGGUUGAUGGGGAAACAGUAUAUAUAAUAAUCAUGUUAAAGAAAUCCGUUUCAUCUAUCAUUCUCUUAAAACGUGAAACUCCCACAGUUUCCAUCAAGAAUGACUAAGCUGAUGGUGAGGGGUCUUGAAAAGCUAAGAUGCACCACACAGUCACGUGGUGGGCAGAUUCUAUUCUAUUUGAAACCACAGCCUGCCUUAUUUUUUGACUCAAGUUAAAUUUUUUUCAAACAUAAGCCUGUCGGUCAUGCCUAUUUUAAGCAAUUUCAUUUUCCUUGGUGUCGGGCUUUCUUAUCUUUGUCCUUCAAAUUCAGCAUCAGUAGAGAUACUCGUUCCAAUCACUAACCAUUUGAAAAUAGAAGCCAGGCAUUUAAGAUGAUUCCGUGGGGUUAGCUCCUUUAAGAAUCUUUCUCAAAAGCAACCCUUUCUCCUACGAAUGUCUUAUUGUAAGUGGGCCCUUCUAGGAGGAUUCUUCCAGUUUCUGCCAGAGAAUAUCACAAUCUGAUGAGGCCUGGUUGGUGACAGGGGAGACCCAUUGAGUAAGUAAAGCACCCCUCCCAAAAUACAAUGCUGUUUGGAAGCUGUUCCUCAAGGGGAGACUCACACCAGGUGAAGAACCAACUACUGAAGAGGUUAGCCAUUCCCACGCAUCCGUUUUCCUAGCACACAAGCUACAGCCAGAGUGCCAUAUGGUUCAUGGCGUCAAUGCCAGGACCCAAAUCCAGGUCUGCAGCCUACCAGCCUCAUGUUCAUUCCUCCUCUCAUAACACCUGUUUUUCCUGCUGGGACACAAACUCCACGGAGCAGCAACCUCUUCAUCGUAUUCACUUAGGUAUACACAGCAUGGAGGUGAUAAUCAGAAAUAGCUGUUGGUCAAUACGUUAACUGCACCUGGGAUGGAGCACUGGUGGUCAUUUGUAAGGUUUCAUGCAGCUCCGGACAUCAAAGAGUCUCACCAGAAAGAAAAAAACAUCACCAACCCAUACACACAUGGUUUAUGGACUCUGAAAUGCCAGGAACUCUGGACAUGACUUCCAGAGUGGAAGUCUUGGGAACAGCAGCCACAGAGCCACCUCUUAGUUAACGGGAUCUGUGCCAGGGUUUCAUUUGUCAUGGAGUUGGCAGGCAUCAGGCCCCUACUCAUCCAUGUAGCUUGAGAACAGAAGUUUCCACAUUGCUUCUAAGUCAGCUUUAACCAGUUUGAAUCCUUCUUAAAAUAUUUAACAGGCCUCUCCUCUCCCCAAACACUGUAGUUGCUAAGCCUCCUUUCAUCUUACCAUAAUCAAACUUGCCUCAAUUUUUAUGUAAUUUUUAUGCACAUUAGCCAUGCAUUCCAUCCCACAGGGGACAGCCCCUGCCAGGGUAUGCGGGUGCUGUACAAAGUUAGGGUUUAAACACGGCAUAGCCUGUCUGAGGUUAGUUUUUACAAAAAAGAUCCUGUUAAGUUCUUCGUUUUGCUGAAACCAUGUGCUGGCUUAAUGCCUUUUUUUCUCUGGUUAAGACCUAAGACUUCUCAAAGGAAUGUGCUAGAAGGGUCUCCAGUGGGAAUUGUAUUCCCUCUCAGCAUUUUUCAUUUGGGUUCCGUCUGGGUUAAUUGGUUAAUGGUGAAAAUAAGUACUUACAUCUUUUGCCACUAAAUCAGGAGUUCCUGCUGCUGCUUCUGCUACAUCCCCUCAUGACAGCCUGCUAUUACUCACAGCUGGCAGACACUGUAAAAAGUGAUGCCACGUCAGCCACGCAGAACCUUUCUGCUUCAGCCACAGUUUCCCAACGGAAUGAUUUAGUAUGUAGUUCCCAAGGCUGGAAACAUGACCUGACCACCAUAUUGAGAAGGUCUGAAUUAAAGCAGACACUACUUGAAAUUACAGAAAGAAAGCACAAAUACCUCUUAGGGUAUCUGAGUGAAAACCCCAAGGAGAACAUAAAUAUUACAUUGACUUUUUAAAUAAUCAUGACAGCAGGUUAAUAAUUGACCAAAAAAGGGGUAUCUGCAUUAGAAAUUUAAAGAAAACUUAGGGACUUUUAGCAUUAUGGAUGUUAGUUCACUAAAAAAUUAUGAAUUUGGGCUGGGAUUGCGGCUCAGCAGUAGAGGGCUCACCUAGCAUGUGUGAGGCCCUGGGUUGGAUCCUCAGCACCACAUGAAAAUAAAUAAAUAAAGGUAUUUUUUAAAAAGAUUAUAUGUGAGUGUCUAUGUAUCCAUACAGAUAAAUGGAUAUAAAAGUUACAUAUCUGGAAAUUAAUAAUGCUUCCUUUGUUUGAGAGAGAAAAUAUGAAAGGGAGUAUUGAUAGAGAUGGAAAUAACUUUUUAAAAGGCUUCAAAAUGAUCUUGUAAAAAAUGAAAAAUAAAAAUAAAAAGGCUUGAC
rnacentral:lncRNA from 1 species